UGACCGCUCACGUGGUCUAAGUGGUUAGAACGUCCGCCUCAGAUGCGAGAAGUAGCGGGUUCGAACCCCGACCGAGUCAU